GUGUGGUCACACAAUGAGUGUUUAUUAUUCAAGGUUAAAGCUUGCAGGUGUUUUCUGUCUGUAUCGUGAGAAGCCACCAGUAUAUUAGGGAGGCAUGGUAACUCCUCUCCCUGAAGAUUCAUGAAGACGUGUGAGAAACUGUCCUUCAGCAAAGGAAUGUGUGAGAAAACUGAGAAAAGGCUGCACAACAAAUGUAAAAUGUAUAUUUCUGUAGUAUGUGUAUGUUCAAUAAAAGAACGGUGCAGGGGAGAGACAAACAGACGUGUUCCUGACUACGCAGAUGCAGCAUCUCUUCCCCCGGCCGGGUGAAUCAGCUUCAACCUCUUGUCCGUGUUUUCUUUUCUUAGACAUUUAAGUUUAGUUUUUUCUCGUACAGAAAUAAGAUGCUUUGACCAAAUAAACAAACACGCAGGAGUUUAGGAGGACAACUCCAACAUGUCAAACAGGCAGGCCUGUAUAAAUUACUUUUCCAAAAUUUGCACAGCCCUAAUAUUCUCCUGAUUGACUGUUUUAUGUUGUGUUUGUUAGCUUCUGUCUUUGUGAUGUGUUAAGACCUUGUUUUUCCUUCUCUGCUAGAUGUUUGUUUCUAAAUUGCAGCCUGAUUAAACAUAGUUUAACUUAAGUGAGCUGAACUGCUCACAGAGUUGCUAGUCGCUACCACCUGAUACUGUAGGCUUAGGCACGGAGUUCUGACCCAAUUACAGAUGUAAGCCGAUUUAAUAAAAACAAACAAACUUGGUAACCAAGCAGUUGCUUGUUAAGUGUUACAGUUUUGUUACGUACAGAUUACAGGUGAGUUUACUGGAGAAAAUGCAUGGAAAUAUGUUGAGUGAAUGUAACAUACACGAGCUCCUAAUGUUGGAUUUGACCUGUUGCUGUGUUGGCACUCCAUCUGCUCAAACCAUGUAGAAACACAUAUAGAUCUUGGCUUUUUUAAUCAACCUUCCUCUCCUUCAGGUAAGAGAAGAGUCCCAGACAGAGACAGCUUCUUUCUUCCCUCUCUUCAUGUUAACGGAUGUGAACACAUACAAACAGAGCUCCUUUGUGUUUCUGUUACGACCUAUUCAGGAGGCUCUUGUUACUCUGCCUUGCAGGUAAUGAUAAGGUCUUGGAGAUGCUCAGCUACUACCGAUGGAGAAUCUGUGGAGGAAGCUGAAGAUUAGGUUAAUGGCAAGAAGGCCUUCCAACCUGUAGCCCUUGCAUAUUGUCUUAUUAGCUUUUGGGACAUACCUGGAUCAGCCACAAUCAGAAAAAUACACCUUGUUUAAAAGAAAAUAUUCUUAUAAGCAAACUUGGCCUAAAAUAUACUACAUACAAAAUGUGCUUUAGUUUUAAAUAAUUGUUUUAUUUUGUUUGUAGUGUUAGUUGUAAUGAGAGCUGUGGAUGUGAGCUCCCAUAGGGUAGCUUGUCCCCAAACACUAAGAAGGAAGUGAAUAUGCAGAGACUUACCUAAUCUAUUUUGGGUUUGCAGUCCACGGCUGAUGAGGUGUGACACAAAAUUACCUCAUGGUAAAAGGUGACUUUUCCUGUGUUUAAUGGGACGACUACAUUUCCAAAGUAAAGCUUAUAUAAAAUGCCAUCUGUUGGAUUUAAAAGAAAAGAUGCUUAGGUGGAAUGCAGCCACUGAAGAACGCGCUAAAUCCUUGCAAAGCAUUACUUCAGCUUUGAGACUCAACUUCGGCUAAAAGGGAAAAAGGUGUUACUUUCACCAGGACCACAAUCAAUUAUAACAAGCAGCCUACAUGAAAAGUUAAGAAACAUUUUUACAAAAUUAUUCUGCAGGGCUGAUCUGGAAGUGAGAAAUGUACAAGUUGAAGUAGAAUAAAAAUUAUUCAUGGUUUUCAAGAUUUCCAGAUUUCACUCUCUAGAUGUGCAGAGCUGGUAGAAACUUGCCCCAGAGGGCUUUUAGCUGUGACUGCAGCAAAGGUAUUAAGUCAGGAGGGCUAAAUGCAAUGCAUAGCACAAUUGUCAGAAAAACUUGAAACCAUGUAUAAUUUUCCUUCCACUUUAAAAUGAUGCAGUACCUUGUGUUGCUCUGUCAUAAUAAAUCCAAAUGCAUCAUGCCAUACUGCAAUAUCCACAAUGCAUCAUAUUAUGUGCAAAUGCAAAAUCUAAAUAAGUCGAGGAUUUAUAAAAUGUGCUGCAUCACUUCUGUAAAACCUAGAGCGUCACUGCAGAUCCUAACUGUUCGUCGCGCCUUAAUGGAGUCUCUGAGGAACAUCUUUGUGACUUGGCCUGUGAAUGUAAUUAAAGUUUUAAUCUCUUUUCCUGGUUAACAGUGUCUCAAUGUGAUGACCUGAGAAUCUCAUCAAGCUGUUUGCUGAGUCACAGUUAAUCUCAGCUGACUGUUUCUGUUUGCAACAUAACAUGUACAGGAGUAAUGUAACAAGAUGUCCGGGCAGUAAAGUGAAAAAAAAGGUCAAUUCAAGUUACUAAUAGAAUGCAUGUUCAUGUAAUCUGAGAUUUGCUAUCUCUUUUUAAUACAAUUUUUUAUGGAUUUUACUUUACAAUUGCUACCUUACACCUAAUGCUUUCACCGAAUUAAUUCUCAUGUGUCAUAAAAAUUUGGUUAUGCCAGCUUGAAACUAAUUACGAGGCUGUUUUCAAACAAUUUUAGAGCUGUGGCCUGCUUUGCCAAAGUAGUCUUAAGUUUUUUUUAAAUCCUCAUGAAGCAAAAGUAAAUAACCACAGUGUCGAAAAGAUGACAAACUCUGUUCAGAGAAAAACAUCUGUUAAGGAUCUGAUUAGCUGUUCAACAUGUGUGUUAAAUCUAUCUGAGUGUGACUGUAAGAGCAUGCCGGACAAUCCAAGCUUUGUUCCCUCCAUGACAGUUUGGCCCCGCCACAUUUGACCUGUCGUCUCAAAGAUCAGAGCAGGUGACAUAAGAGUGGCUCAUGUGUCACCUAUGAAACCCAUUUGGUUCAGCAAGACCCGUGAACAAAUCAGAACAGGUCAGAUCAGACCUCUACAGGAUCCAUGGGUGAAGAUUUGAUGCCUGAGACACCUCAUCUCACCUUUCCUAAUGACUAAAAUAAAAUCUGACUUGAUUUUU